CUGCAGUGCCAAAGCAGAGCUCGAGCAAGGAAGACACAGAGCUGCUGGAUGGUGUGAGGAUGGGGAAACUCCACAGAGAAGAGCAGUAUCUCUGCAGAAGGACUGUGCACUUGUCCAAGCUUUCAUCAGCACGUGGAGGCAGAACAARAGCAGCCUAAAAGUGGUUUCACUGACACACCUGGUUUUGCCCAGUGUGGUCCUGGCUCCACAGGCAUGAGAGUUUCUGCAGGCCUGCUGAUGCUGGAGGAAGCUGGAAGAGGAGCAGUAAAUAAAUGCAAUAUUUUUCCAGGAAAAAUGCGCUUGCAAA